rnacentral:rRNA from 1 species
AACGAACGCUGGCGGCAGGCCUAACACAUGCAAGUCGAGCGAGGACUUCGGUCCUAGCGGCGGACGGGUGAGUAACGCGUGGGAACGUGCCCUUUGCUACGGAAUAGCCCUGGGAAACUGGGAGUAAUACCGUAUGUGCCCUUCGGGGGAAAGAUUUAUCGGUAAAGGAUCGGCCCGCGUUGGAUUAGGUAGUUGGUGGGGUAAUGGCCUACCAAGCCGACGAUCCAUAGCUGGUUUGAGAGGAUGAUCAGCCACACUGGGACUGAGACACGGCCCAGACUCCUACGGGAGGCAGCAGUGGGGAAUCUUAGACAAUGGGCGCAAGCCUGAUCUAGCCAUGCCGCGUGAGCGAUGAAGGCCUUAGGGUUGUAAAGCUCUUUCAGUGGGGAAGAUAAUGACGGUACCCACAGAAGAAGCCCCGGCUAACUCCGUGCCAGCCGCCGCAGUAA